rnacentral:lncRNA from 1 species
AUUUAUUAUAAUAAGGCAUUCCCUCAUGCAAUUAUAGAGGCUAAGUCCCUAUAUCUGCAGUUGGCAGGCUGGAGACCCAGGAGAGCUGAAGGUGUAGUUCUAGUCCAAGUCCGAAGACCUGAGAACCAGGAGAGUCAGUGGUAUAAGUUUCAGUCUGAACCCUGCAGGUUAGAGACACAGGAAGAAUGGAUGCUUCCGUCCAAGUCUGAGACCGGAGAAGACACAUGUCCCAGCUCAAGCAGUCAGGCAAGAGGAAUUCCCUCUUAGCCUUUUUUCUGUUCACGUCUUCAAUGGAUUGGAUGAGGACCAUCUACACUGGGGAGGGUGAUCUACUUGACUCAGUCUACUGAUUCAAAUCUUAAUCUCCUCCAGAAACACCCUCACAAACACACCCGGAAUAGUGUUUAGUCAAAUGUCUAAGCACUCCAUGGGCCAGUCAAGUUGACACACAAAACUUGCCACCCCAGCUUCCUACAGAAGCCAACUCCCUCAAGAAGAGAUGAAGAUUCGGCUCUAUGUUGGUGGCGUGGCGUUGUGUACCUAGAACAAUGGUAGGCCACUCUCUGAGUCCCUGUGGGGAUUUUCUAGGGUAAAUCAGACCUUGAUUCAUGUUCACUGUCCUUGCUGAUGAGUCCUUAUCACCCCCCAGACUGCAACUCCUACAGCCGUUAGAUGUUAUGCUCACUUUCACCCCAUCCCUCAGACUCAGACCUUCGCAUUCAAUCCCAGGGCUUUGGUCAUGGGUAGUUCCAGCUGUCUGCACCUCACAGUUGACAACCCCUCACCUCCUGCCUCCCCAAGGCCACUCUCUCCCCGUCGCACCCAGGCUGCCAGGGUGACUUUCAAAACACUCUUCUUUCACUGUAGACCCAUAAGAUGUGGGAACUGGCAGGGACUUUAGAGACAGUGCAUCCUCUCUGAUCUUCCUUGCAGGAUUACAGCUGGGAAACUGAGUUCCAAAGGCAGGAAGAGACUUGCCUGGGGAGGCUGCUCUGGUCCUCAGGCCCUGGUCUUCGUGUGGGUCCCCAGGUGUGGUGGAAAUGGCGGGGUGGUGAGAGAGGGCUGGGGUCAUGAUGGAUGGAGAGGAUGUGAGUAGAGUGAUUGGGAGGAGUGGGGAUGGGAGGGGGACUUGUGGGUGUGUGGCAGGUGUGUGUGCAAUGUGCACACGUCUGCAUAUGAGCAUGUGUGGCUCCUACCAAAUGACCCCAGGUGAUGGAAUCUGGAAUGGAUGGGGAAAGGGAGUUGGGCAGGAGCCCAGCAGUGUCAGCUAGUUAAUAGAUAAAACCCAUUCUUUGGGAUUCUCAUUAGGGCGCUGAGGUCUCCAUCCACUUCAGACUCAACUUGUGUCCAUACAGACCUCACUGAGGGCUUCCAGCAGGCUGUUCUGCUCCCAGCUCUCCUGGGAGGAGUGGGCGUGGGUUUUAAUUCUUGCCCAGAGCCCUGCUGACAGGUGGUGCUCUGUCUGGAGGCGAACCUGGGGCCCAGCUCGGUGGAACCAUUUUCAGCUGUGUACCCCAGUAAGUGCUUGGCCUUUCAGAUCAUAGUUUCUCUCAUGUGCGUAAGAAGGGGUGGGUCAGGAUGGAGGCGGUUUCCAAACACCAGUCUUCCAUGCCAACAUCUGCCCCCUAGACUUGGCAAAAACCAGAACAAUAAGGACAAUGCCAUAAGUUGUUCAUGAAACUAAAUGCAUCCAGUCUAAUGGAUUAUCCUUUAUUCUGAGAUGACGUCCUUCCUUUUUUUGAUAUUCAAAUGCCCUUUUGAAAAUCAAAUGAUAGAAACUCUGUGUGUGUGUGCACGUGUGCGCAUUUGUAUGCUUGUGAAUAAAGGCAUGCUGAUGAAAGAAAGGCAGUGCUUAUCAUAGUGUGGUCUGAGAAUGCCUGGAGGUCCCCAAAACACUUUCAGGGGGUUUAGAAAGUCAAAACUGUUUUCAUAAUAGUACUAAGAUGUCAUUUGCCCUUUUUACCCUGUUGACAUUUGCACUAGUGGUGCAAGAGCAACAGCCAGUAACCUGCUAGUCUGGUAGCACGCAUCAGGCUGGGACGUUCUUGCAGUAAAACAAAAAAGAGAAAAAGAGACAAUGUCACUUAAGAAUGUCCUUGAAGCAGAAAAAUUUAUUAACUUCUUCAUUUUUCAACCCUUGAGUACAAGACAUUUUAAUAUUCUGUACAACCAAGUGAAGGUGUGCAUGAAACAUUUCUCCUGCAUACUGAAGUAUAAUAGUUGUCUUAAGGAAAAGUACUUGUGCAAUUGAGUUGUUAGCUGACCUAGCUGAACAUCAUUUUUACUUGAAAAAGGAAGACUAACAGAAAAAUUAUGGUUAUGCAAUCUCAAGUAUUGGUAGACAUUUUCUUGAAAAUGAAUAAAGUGUGCCAGUCACUUCAAGGAAAAUAAUGGACCACAUUUGUCACCAAUGAUAAAAUUCAGGCUUUCAAGAUAAUGGAGAUAAAUGCCUGGAACAGGGUGGCUGUCCAAUAAAGUCUGUCUUUCCCCUCUUUCUUCUACUCCUAUUUCCUCCUCUUUUUUUUUUUUUUUUUUGACAACGUCUGACUCUAUCGCCUAGGCUGGAGUGCACUGGUGCCACCUCAGCUCACUGAAACCUCCGCCUCCCAGGCUCAAGCCAUCCUCCCACCUCAGCCUCCUGAAUAGCUGGGACUACAGGCACACACCACCACACCCAGUUUAUUUUUGUAUUUUUCUUUUUUUUGUAGAGAUGAAAUUUUGCCACAUUUCCCAGGUUGGUCUUGACUUCCCUCUCUUCUUGGUAGAGGUUAGCUCCUUGGCCCUGGCUGGCAAAGUGUCUGAAAAUUGACACUCUUCAGUGUCAAUUUUCCAAUGAGAUGGGGUAGGAGGUAUUGGUUUGGGCACGGAGUAAGCUGCUGUAAGAACAGUCCCCCAAAUACAGCAAGUUCAACAAGAUGGAAGAUUAUUGCUCUCAUGGAAAACUCUAAGCAAGGAAGGGGUCUGGGAAUGGAAGGCAGUUUGACUCCAUGAAGUGGAUCAGGAAUUCAGGUAACUUCCAUCCUGUGCUCUGCCCUCUCCAUGGUGGAAGCUGGAUCUCUGUGCUGUGUCUAUGUUUCAGUCUGCAAGAAGGCAGGGAGAAGAUGGGAAGGGCUAGCACACAUUGCUUCUGUUCACAUGCCAUUCACAUAUGGCCACAUGUAACUGCCUGGGAGGCUGGAAAGUAGUGUAGUUUCUAGUAAUAUGGCUAUUCUAUGACUAAAAAGAAAAAAGGGAGAAAGGAUUCUAGGGGAUGGAUGACAGUUUCUGCCACAAUAUGAGUGGGGUAGGAUCAGAGGAGAAAAAUGUGGGAAUAGCAGAAAUGUAGCACCUAUGAGCUCACAGCUUCAAAGAGAUGCUCAGGUGAAAUCCCAGAGAGGCCCACCUAGACUCAGCACCCUGCUGCUGCUACCUCUUCUCACCUCAUCAGUCUGUGCAUGGUAUGUAGGCCACGUGUCUUUGCAUUUCCUCCAAACAUCUGAACAUGGUGGAUCUAGAAGGCACUUUAGAGAUCCCCUUUUAUUCUGUAAAAGGAGAGGCACAGCCCCAGAGACAGAAGACUCUUGACCAAUGACACACAGCAAGUCAGAGUUGGGAUUGGGACUAGAACCAAGCUUUCCCACUCCCCAGGCCCAUAGCUCUCUUGCCAUAGCCCACAAUAUCUCUUUGAUGAUGCACCAGGCCCUUUCCCUUCUGAUACAUCAGAUGGCUCCCUCCCUGAGCUGACCACCUGAUUCCUUAUCCUCUGUUACCUUGAAAAGCAUGAAUAUACGUUAAAUAGGAAAGGAAUGAAGCAAACAUGUAUCACACAGUCGAAAAGAAGAAUAGGCAUAGGCAUGUAGUGUAAGAAAGGUUAUUCAGGGAAGGGGCAUUUCCAUCCCUUUUUAUUCAUACACCACCCAAGAGUCUUUUGAAUGCAGGUGCAAAAAUCCCACUGAAACCUGCUUACAAAAUUAAGGAGGAUUUAUUGGCUUAUAUAGUCUCCAAUUCCAUAUUUUUAGGAUGGGUCACUUUUAACACCCUACUCCUGAUACCAAUUUCUACAUCACUUGAGAUGUCUUGUUGACAAGCAGUAACAAUGGGCUCUGACUAAACUGAGACUUUUGGGCAUUUAUUGGAAUAAUCCUGGGGUGGUCUCAAUGAAAGGACUGAAGAAAGGGCUGAAGAACCAGAUCUGGAACUUAUAUCUCAGAGGAUAUCAGCAGCAGAAGAGUCUGCUACCUUCCAACCCUGAGUCUGUAUGCAGAGGCAAAGUGUGGGCAAAGGAAUUCUGGUUGCAUGCCUACCCUAUCUGAUACCAGAAGAAAAUGGGGUAAACAUGGGGAGCUAUGACAGAUAAAAACAAUCACCAUUAUGCCUUUAAUUUCCCCUAUAAAUGCAUACUAUCAUUAUCCACAUUCGCUUAUUAGAUUUGUAUUUUUUCUCAUUUUAACUUAAAGAAAUAUGUAUAGUUCUUAUUGAUGGCAUCUUUCUAAUGGGAGGCAGUACAUGUAAUACAACUUCUUGGCUUAAUACUUACUAACUACAUAACUUGGGCAAGUUACUCAACUUCUCUGAGACUUGAUUUCUUCAUUUUUAAGAUGGGGAUAAGAAUUCCUUGUAGGGUAUUUGAGAUCAUUAAGAUAACUAAUGCAUGAAAGGAUUUUAAAGUAGAGUGGUGGCCAUUUUUAUCAUUUAAAUUUUCCUCUCUCUUUACUGUCUUAGGCUGGAUUCCCAGAAGCAGACUCUUAGUGAAGGAAAUGUAUAGGGGAUGAGAAAGUGGGGCAGGGAAGGGAAGCAGAUCCGGCAAGGAUCCGAUAUCAAGCAAACUCCCACAGAGGGUAAUUUUGGCUCAAUUCCACAUGUGAACUUUGGAGACAUACGAGUCACAACUCAGAGUUGCAUGAGCAGGGAACAAGGGAGCUGGGGUAUUGAUACUCCCAUGUUGCCAAUCAUUGGUUGCAGUGUCUGGCAAGCUGUAGAAAGCAUUCUGACAAUGAGAUGCAAGUGUUGGCUGUUGGGAGUCAAAGCACACUGGGGAUCAGGAAAAGGAGCAGAGGAGGUAUGGACGAAACAUGCUACCUGUCCUCAGUGGUGCUCAUUUACACAAUAGACUUGAAGAGUGUUUUAACAAAGGGGCCAGGGUUAGAGAAAGCAUGAAGGUGAGACUCAGCAGCCUGUUCCAUCUGGGUCAGAGGUCACUCACUCUGACUCCAGGACUUUUUUCUUGGAGCUGCCAAUUUGCAAAGUAUUUCGAAAUAGUAGGCUCAGCAAACUUGGAAAGGCAGGAUGCUCAGCUCAAAAGCUGAGAGUAAUUGUUUAAAAUAUGGGGUUGAGCAAUCAGGGAUUCUCACCUGGAAGCCUUUUGCACCAUGGCAUUUUGCCAGCAGGCCCUGUGCUGGAUCAGGCUGCACGCACUGGCCCAGGCUCACAGCAGUGCAAAGAAAUGAGUGGUUGUUCCCACGGCCCAUGUUUUGAGGGUUUAGAGGCAGGCUCAGAUUUCACAGUUGGCAAGAGGUCCCUCUGCUCCGGUAUUCUACCCGUACUUCCUGAUUACCUGUAAGACCUCAGGCAUUGACCUCGGCACUGGGGAAAACCUCACGUCUCACAAGACCACAGAUAACUCUAGCUCCUGCGCUGCAUCAAGAAGGACAGGCAGAUCAAGCGUGUUGGAGGCAUUGAGAAAAGAAACAUCACUUUCCACCUGAUCAAGAAAGGUCUCUUGAGUUGUCCUUGAAAAGAACAAUCAAAGCGUCUUAUUUAGCCAAUAGUCUAAAAGUUAUAUAUUUAAUAUUUAUUUUAAGAACAUUCACAUGGCAUUUACUACAUGCCAGGAAAAGUUGAAGAGCUCUACACAUAUCAACUCAGUUCCUAUUUGUAGGGAAUGUGAAGCUUACUGGGGAUGUUUGUGGGGAUCUUGGCUGCCCAAUGUGGGACCCCUGUUCCCUUUAGGUGUCUAACACAUGUUCUCUUUCUCUUUGAUGGCCAAGGCAUGGCUGGCCAAUGGGAUGCUUCUCUCUCCAAAGGAGCAGGGAGAGCUGGAGAUACCCUCCUUGCAAACAGCAGCUUGAGGAUCCAGCGCCUGGUGCACAGCCCACAGCGACCCCAAGAAGCUGCUCCAACCCCUGGGACUAUGGAGCUCUACAGCUGUAGAGACCACCAGGAAGUGGACUGCAGGCCCCUGGCCUCUCCAUUCAGAUUCUGCAAAGAGAUCCUGAUGGGUUGGGCCAAUGGGUCAGGCAUCCAGUCAGCUCUGGCUAAGGGGUGAAGGAGUCAGGUGUUACCAACGUGGUGGCAGGGGCCACCUUGAAGCUGUGUUCUGUGCCAUGGAAGAAGGAAGAGGAGGAGGAAGCUAAGCUGGAAGGGAAGUCUAGGCUCCUGGAGUCAGUAGUUGGAAUCUCAGAUGGGAAGAAACCUUAAAAGUCAUCUGGUCCAGUAUUUUCCAAAGCAUGUUCCAUGAACUUGUUUUCCAGAAAUGGUUUCCUGGUCUGGUGAGUGGGAGUUCGAUGAGAGUGGCAGUUGUCUAUUUUGUUCACCGAUGUAUCUUAGGUGACUAAAACAAUGGUUGUCACAUGGCUGGCCCUUCAUAUUUGUUUCCAGAUGGAAGACUCUCUUUCUAGUGGUGGAACAUUAGUUUUGCACUGUGUUGGGACAACCUGAUGUAGUGAAAACAAGCCUGGGCAAUGAAAUCAACAGAUUGGAGUUCAGUUCCUAAUUGGGUCAUGGAUGAACUUUGUGACCUUGGGCAAGUGAGUUCACCUCUCUGAGUUGAAUAGGUUCCCUCCUUUCUAGAACAAGUAUGAGUCUGCAUCAGAGAGUGGUUGCGAGGGCUACACAUGAUGGAGGAUGAGGACUGGCACAUCAGAAGUACUGAAUGAAGAAUUGUAACAUAAAAAUGACAACAGUAAUAUAUUUUUGUGGUUUCAGCACUCUUCAAAUGAAACCACCUGGCCAACAGGAUUUUAGUGUACCUGCUUAUAACAUUAGCCUUCGUUUCCACCAAAAAGGGUGUUAAAAAAGGAAGCUUGGAACAUGAAAGUAAGACACUUGGAUGAAGAGAUUUAUGACUCUGGGGGGCUGUGAAUUCCUAAUGUCCUUUUGAGACAUGUAGAUCUUCCAGAGCGAUGCUGCCCAAUGCAGUAGCCACUAGCCAAGUGCAAAUGGUCACUUGCAAUAUGGCUAGUCUUUGAGAUGUGUUUUAAGUGUAAAAUACACACUGAAUUUUAAAGACUUAGCGCAAUACAAAGAAUGUAAAAUAUCUCAUUAUAUCUUGAAAUUAUACUAUUUUGGAUAUAUGGUGUUCCCUUGGUGUCUUUGGGGACUGGUUCCAGGAUCCUAGAGGAUACCCAAAUCCCCAGAUGUCAAGUCCGCUAUAUAAAAUGUCCUGUAGUAUUUGCAUAUAACCUACACACAUCCUUCUGAAUACUUUAAAUCAUCUCUAGAUUCCUUGUAAUUCCUAAUACAAUGUAAAUGUUAUGUAAAUAGUUGUUAUACUAUAUUAAAAAGUUUUUUAUUCUUU